rnacentral:rRNA from 1 species
AUUGAACGCUGGCGGCAUGCCUUACACAUGCAAGUCGAACGGCAGCAUGGAGAGCUUGCUCUCUGAUGGUGAGUGGCGAACGGGUGAGUAAUGCAUCGGAACGUACCGUGUAAUGGGGGAUAACGUAGCGAAAGUUACGCUAAUACCGCAUACGACCUGAGGGAGAAAGCAGGGGAUCGCAAGACCUUGCGUUAUACGAGCGGCCGAUGUCAGAUUAGCUAGUUGGUGAGGUAAAGGCUCACCAAGGCGACGAUCUGUAGCGGGUCUGAGAGGAUGAUCCGCCACACUGGGACUGAGACACGGCCCAGACUCCUACGGGAGGCAGCAGUGGGGAAUUUUGGACAAUGGGGGCAACCCUGAUCCAGCCAUGCCGCGCGAGUGAAGAAGGCCUUCGGGUUGUAAAGCUCUUUCGGCCAGGAAGAAAUCGCACAGGCUAAUACUCUGUGUGGAUGACGGUACCGGCAUAAGAAGCACCGGCUAACUACAUGCCAGCCGCCGCCGUAA